AACGAACGCUGGCGGCGUGCCUAACACAUGCAAGUCGAACGGAGAUAAGAAGCUUGCUUCUUAUUUUAGUGGCGCACGGGUGAGUAACGCGUGGAUAAUCUACCUGAUGCUCUGGGAUAACAUCUCGAAAGGGGUGCUAAUACCGGAUAAGCCCACGAUCUCUUCGGAGAAUGCGGGAAAAGGAGGGGACCUUCGGGCCUUCCGACGUCAGAUGAGUCCGCGUCCCAUUAGCUAGUUGGCGGGGUAAUGGCCCACCAAGGCUACGAUGGGUAGCUGGUCUGAGAGGAUGAUCAGCCACACUGGAACUGAGACACGGUCCAGACUCCUACGGGAGGCAGCAGUGGGGAAUUUUGCGCAAUGGGUGAAACCCUGACGCAGCAACGCCGCGUGAGUGAUGAAGGCUUUCGGGUCGUAAAGCUCUGUCAGAAGGGAAGAAAUGUAGGUGGCUAAUAUCCAUUCUACUUGACGGUACCUUCAAAGGAAGCACCGGCUAACUCCGUGCCAGCCGCCGCGGUAAAAC
rnacentral:rRNA from 1 species